rnacentral:rRNA from 1 species
AUACGAAUGGUGCGAGCGUUGUUCGGAAUCACUGGGCAUAAAGGGCGCGUAGGCGGCGGUGUAAGUCAAUUGUGAAAUCCCUCGGCUCAACCGAGGAACUGCAGUUGAUACUGCGUUGCUAGAGUAUUGGAGGGGAGAGCGGAAUUCCUGGUGGAGCGGUGAAAUGCGUAGAUAUCAGGAGGAACGCCGGAGGCGAAAGCGGCUCUCUGGCCAAUUACUGACGCUGAGGCGCGAAAGCUAGGGUAGCAAACAGGAUUAGAAACCCCAGUAGUCC